AAUCCAACUUUUUACUAUUUUCUCUGCAAAAUAAGGAUAUGGGGUCAGCAAAAUUGAAGAUUGGAGGGGCAUGGAGUGGUGUAUUGGAAGUGGAAUUGGAAGAAUGGACAGUAGUGAUGUUAAGAGAAGAGGUAGCAAAAAGAUCGGGUCAUGGUGGAGGACCCGAAACAAUUAACCUUAUAUGUGCUGGUAAAUUGUUGAAAGAUGGUGAUGGAACUGAAAAGUUGAGCCAAUUGGGUGUUAGAAACAAUGCAAAGAUUUUG
rnacentral:misc_RNA from 1 species